CACUGCUUGUUGUCUCUCCCUCAAGGGCUUCUCUUCUGCUUGUUCAUAAGAUUUAUAAGCUUUUAAUUAAGAUGCUAAACUUAAAGCAUACUGGGAAUAGGAGCUCUUGCAGGUUGAGACAACAAGAAAUGCC
rnacentral:pre_miRNA from 1 species